AUCUUAUCAAGAGCAGGUGGAGGGACUGGCCCGAUGAAACCCGGCAACCGGCGGUAAACGCACGGUGCUAAUUCUUGCAGAGACGUAUCCAGCAGCAAUUGUCUGGAAUGCGUGACUCUGGCAGAUGAGAG
rnacentral:ncRNA from 1 species